rnacentral:rRNA from 1 species
UAAACUAGGAUUAGAUACCCUAUUAUUUUAAAUGUAAAGUUAAGAAUAUCAAAUUAGUAAUAGUUAUGUUCUUGAAAGUUAAAAAAUUUGGCGGUAUUUUAGUCUUUUCAGAGGAAUCUGUCCUGUAAUUGAUAAUCCACGAUUUGAUAUACUUAAUUUAUUAAUUUACAUAUCGUCGUAUUUUAGAAUAUUUUAAUAGAAGAUGAAUAUUCAAGGGGUUUUAUAAAAAAAAUAAAUCAGAUCAAGGUGUAGUUUAUAAUGAAGUAGAGAUGGAUUACAUUAAAGUUAUUUAAGGAUAUUUAACUUUCAAAGUAAUUUGAAUAUGGAUUUGAAAGUAAUUUUAAAUGAAUAUUUAGAAUGAUUAAAGCUCUAUAAUAUGUACACAUCGCCCGUCGCUCUUAA